rnacentral:rRNA from 1 species
UGGCGACCGGCGCACGGGUGAGUAACACGUAUCCAACCUGCCGAUGACUCGGGGAUAGCCUUUCGAAAGAAAGAUUAAUACCCGAUGGCAUAGUUCUUCCGCAUGGUAGAACUAUUAAAGAAUUUCGGUCAUCGAUGGGGAUGCGUUCCAUUAGCUUGUUGGCGGGGUAACGGCCCACCAAGGCAUCGAUGGAUAGGGGUUCUGAGAGGAGGGUCCCCCACAUUGGAACUGAGACACGGUCCAAACUCCUACGGGAGGCAGCAG